rnacentral:rRNA from 1 species
CCUACGGGGGGCAGCAGUGAGGAAUAUUGGUCAAUGGGCGAGAGCCUGAACCAGCCAAGUCGCGUGAAGGAUGAAGGAUCUAUGGUUUGUAAACUUCGUUUAUAGGGGAAUAAAGUGAGGAACGUGUGCCUUUUUGUAUGUACCAUAUGAAUAAGCAUAGGCUAACUCCGUGCCAGCAGACGCGGUAAUACGGAGGAUGCGAGCGUUAUCCGGAUUUAUUUGGUUUAAAGGGUGCGUAGGUGGUUACUUAAGUCAGCGGUGAAAGUUUGUGGCUCAACCCUAAAAUUGCCGUUGAAACUGGUUGCCUUGAGUAUAUUUGCGGUCGGCGGAAUUCGUGGUGUAGCCGUGA